GCCUGGGUAGCUCAGUUGGAUAGAGAGUGGUGCUGAUAACACCAAGAUUGCAGGUUUGAGCCCCAUAUGAGACA